CUGGCUCAGGACGAACGCUGGCGGCGUGCCUAAUACAUGCAAGUCGAGCGAACAGAGAAGGAGCUUGCUCCUUCGACGUUAGCGGCGGACGGGUGAGUAACACGUGGGCAACCUACCUU
rnacentral:rRNA from 1 species